rnacentral:rRNA from 1 species
AUUGAACGCUGGCGGCAGGCCUAACACAUGCAAGUCGAGCGGAGCGGCGGAAGGGUGAGUAAUGCCUAGGAAUCAACCUGGUGGUGAGGGCUCACGUCGGGCAACGGGCGAUAAUACAGCAUACUAGCAGAGGAGUCUAGGUCGGAUUAGCUCGUUGGUGGGGUAAAGGCCUACCAAGGCGACGAUCCGUAACUGGUCUGAGAGGAUGAUCAGUCACACGGGAACUGAGACACGGUCCAGACGCCUACGGGAGGCAGCAGUGGGGAAUAUUGGACAAUGGGCGAAAGCCUGAUCCAGCCAUGCCGCGUGAGUGAAGAAGGUCUUCGGAUUGUAAAGCUCUUUAAGUUGGGAGGCGUUACCAACAGAGUAAGCAACGGCUAACUUCGUGCCAGCAGCCGCGGUAAUAC